CGGCCGCGUCGACGAUCCUGGCUCAGGAUGAACGCUGGCGGCGUGCCUAAUACAUGCAAGUCGAGCGAGCUGAAUUCAAAGAUCCCUUCGGGGUGAUUUGUUGGACGCUAGCGGCGGAUGGGUGAGUAACACGUGGGCAAUCUGACCCUAAAGACUGGGAUACCACUUAGGAAACAGGUGCUAAUACCGGAUAACAACAUGAAUCGCAUGAUUCUAAGUUUAGAAAGGCGGCGCAAGCUGUCUACUUUAGGAUGACGCCCGCGGCGCUAUUAGCUAGUUGGUGGGGUAAAGGCCUACCAAGGCAAUGAUGCGUAGCCGAGUUGAGAGACUGAU
rnacentral:rRNA from 1 species